rnacentral:rRNA from 1 species
ACGGGAGGCAGCAGUGGGGAAUAUUGCACAAUGGGGGAAACCCUGAUGCAGCAACGCCGCGUGAGGGAAGACGGUUUUCGGAUUGUAAACCUUUGUCUUUGGUGAAGAAACAAAUGACGGUAGCCAAGGAGGAAGCCACGGCUAACUACGUGCCAGCAGCCGCGGUAAUACGUAGGUGGCAAGCGUUGUCCGGAAUUACUGGGUGUAAAGGGAGCGCAGGCGGGACUGCAAGUCAGCUGUGAAAUACAUGGGCUCAACCCGUGGACGGCAGUUGAAACUGUAGUUCUUGAGUGAAGUAGAGGUAGGCGGAAUUCCGAGUGUAGCGGUGAAAUGCGUAGAUAUUCGGAGGAACACCAGUGGCGAAGGCGGCCUACUGGGCUUUAACUGACGCUGAGGCUCGAAAGUGUGGGGAGCAAACAGGAUUAGAUACCCUGGUA